rnacentral:lncRNA from 1 species
GGGCAGACAAACAUGAGCCAGUGUGAACCAGAGGAAGACCUGAGACUUUGGAUGAAUCAGAAUCAGCCAAAAAAGUUCAUCUGGCAACUCCUGCGAACUGACCGUCAUCCAGAGGAACAGCUGUGAUGUCCACAGGGCACCCAGGCAUUCUGAAGAGCCACUGGCAUUGAGAAAGGGGCAGUGACAUUUCCCCCAGCCUGUCCUUCCUUCCCGGCUCCUGGGGGAGAGUGACAAAGCCAGAGGAUAAUGAGAUGACCGGAUCAACUUGUAUGGAGAAAAAGUGAAACUUCCCCAAAGAUGGGGAAGCUGAGGCACGGAGAGGCAGCUGGCCCAAGGUUACACAGGUUGCAAGUGGCAGCAGAACCAAGAUUUACACCGUGAGCAUCAGUGGGCUUAUCCUUAGCACCUCACUUGGGGAGGACACUGCAAUUAAUGUGAUUUUUCAAAUGGAAUCUUGAAAACCUUCAUGAAACACUGAAUUGGCAUGAUCCCUGACAUGGGUGGAUAAGUCAGGCAUCAGAACACUUAGCAGUCAUCUUUCGCUCUGUAACAAACCAUCCCCAAACUUCAAGCAGACUAAGAUGCAUGGGGAUCCAGAAGACCCAGCUUUGUCAGUGCGAAGCCGUCUCAGCGGAAACAGAAAUAUGACUCAGGAGCUUGUCCUUCUGGGCAUUCAGAUGCUUGUGUUCCCCCACUUCCUCCCUGAUACCUCCUUUCCGCCCCUUCUUCCUGACUCUCUUCUGUGGCUUCAUCACUGCCUGCUUCCAGAUAUUUUCUCUGUUCAGGCAGCCCUGCAAGCACCUGGCAGGGAUGACAAAUGAGCCUGCCUUCCUGGGCGACGUGACUGUCCAGAAACACAGCCUGGAGCAUGCACAAUGCAGCAGCUUCCACGCACAGCGCAAAUGCCGGAAUGCGCUGCAGGGUUGGAGAGAGGUCACUGUUGCAGAAACCCAACGCUGUUUGAGUCUGGCAUUCGAGGCUCUAGCCAGCUUUGCUUAAUUAGAGGAAUAAGCAAAUAGGUACCCCGGAGUAGCUUCUGGAUUGUCUCAACAGACUGAAAUGUGUAAGUGAAAAGGCUGCAUGCAAUUAAACACAAUUCACCAUGAUCUGGCUGUCUGGUUUAGUUCACUCAUAUUAUAUAUAAAGAAUCAAAGAACCAUAAAGAAAAGCAGAAGCAUCAGCUGCCAUUAUAAAUCUGAUAAAUGUCUUUGAUCAAGGAAAGCUUGCUUACCAAACAGGCUCUGAGCUCCAGAUUACCUAUAGAUUUAUUUACAAGGAGAAAGGAGCUCUCAGUAGUCCUCAUUACUAUCUUGCUCGAUAAAAAGAUUAACCAAUCAAUGACAAGUGCUGGUUUCACAUGGUAUAGUGCAGAUAAAAUAGACGAAAGAGACCUUGCCCUUGCAGAGCUGACACGGUAGCAGAUCACAUAGGAACGAAGAGAGCUGCCAGAUACAGUACCAGGAACAAUAAUAAUAUAAAUACAAUACAAUAUUCAACCUCAACUGGGUCCUAGGGCUGUACUGGGCACUGUGCAUAUAGCAUUGAGUCUAAUCUUUAAAACUGCUGAUGAGCAGCUAUUACCAUGUCAAACGGCCAAGGGAGAAAAACAGGUCUCCAAAAGGAUCUACAACUAUAUAAGGUCACAAAGCCAGAAAAGUUUGGGUCUUGGGCUCAAACUCAGGCCUGAGUUUGCUCCACUUCUUCCACAGUACCUGGUUGGAGAAGGCAAUGCAAAUAUUUCAGUGACACUCAGACACUGAUUGAAGGCCAGCCUGGACCCCGCAUGGGUGCGGGUUUGAACAGAGAGCCAGUCUUAAAGGAGCUCGCAACCUGGUGAGAUAGACAGUCAGAGAUGCAAUCCUGUGCAAUCAGUGCAACCCCAAGCCUGCGGUUAUGGAAGACACUGGGGCAGAAAUGAAGCCCAGACCAGAGUUUGUUUUUCCUUCUGAUAUAUUUCCUUUCAGAGAAAGCCUUGGGAUUGUCACUGUGUUACAAAUGUAUUAAACUAGACUAACCCCCUAGUUCUUGCUACCAUUGGAAUCAAGAGGAAGAAGCAAAAUAAACUAACAUCUGCCAUUGUGACUAUUUUUAAGAUACCUGCUGGCUCUAAAUUUAUUCUAUUUUAAAAAGAACUUUAAUGAUUCUUAUCUCACUUGAUUCUUUUACUAUCUCUGCUGAGUUGUCAACAUUUUGCAAACAACACAACAGAGGUUAAACUUCUCAAGGUAACCAUAUUGGUUUGUUAGGGCUGCCUUAAUAAAAUGCCACCGACUGGGUGACUUAAAUAACAGAAAUUUAUUUUCUCACAGUUCUAGAGGCUAGAAGUCCAAGAUCAAGGUGUUGGCAGGUUUGGGUUCUCCUGAGGCCUCUCUCCUUGGCUUGCAGAUAGUGUCUUCUGUAUGUAUAGGACCAAACACAGUACACAUAGAAGCUGCUACUACCACGUUUUCUGGAAUCCACUGGGGAUCUUGGAAAGUGUGCCCCAUGGAUAAGGGGAGACCACUGUACCUCUUGGAGGGAGCAGAUAUCUAAUUAAUGUCCUUAAUUACUAAUUACAUUAAGCCCACCCAGGAUUUGAUUGUUCUGGUAACCUGAUUGAAUAAGUCUUCAUAAAACAAAUAAAAUUACAGUCAGUAGCUC